CCUACGGGAGGCAGCAGUGAGGAAUAUUGGUCAAUGGUCGGGAGACUGAACCAGCCACGCCGCGUGAGGGAGGAAGGUACAGGGUAUCGUAAACCUCUUUUGUCAGGGAACACAGGCGGGGACGUGUCCCCGGAUGAGUGUACCUGAAGAAAAAGCAUCGGCUAACUCCGUGCCAGCAGCCGCGGUAAUACGGGGGAUGCGGGCGUUAUCCGGAUUUAUUGGGUUUAAAGGGUGGUCAGGGGGUGUGUUAAGUCAGCGGGCAACGCCCGGGGCUCACCCCCGGCCCGCCGUUGAAACUGGCAGUCUCGAGUGGGAGAGAAGCAUGCGGAAUGCGUGGUGUAGCGGUGAAAUGCAUAGAUAUCGCGCAGAACUCCGAUUGCGAAGGCAGUAUGCUGGCCCCACACUGACGCUGAGGCACGAAAGCGUGGGUAUCGAACAGGAUUAGAUACCCGAGUAGUC
rnacentral:rRNA from 1 species